GAGGGUAUCACUCAGUGGUAAAACACUUGCUUAGCAUGCAUGAAGUCCUGGGUUCAAUCCCCAGUACCUCCA
rnacentral:tRNA from 1 species